rnacentral:rRNA from 1 species
GACAGAGGGUGCAAACGUUGUUCGGAAUUACUGGGCGUAAAGCGUGUGUAGGCGGUUCGAUAAGUCGGAUGUGAAAGCCCCGGGCUCAACCCGGGAAGUGCACUCGAUACUGUCGAGCUAGAGUAUCGGAGAGGUUGGUGGAAUUCUCGGUGUAGAGGUGAAAUUCGUAGAUAUCGGGAGGAACACCGGUGGCGAAGGCGGCGACCUGGGUCGAUACUGACGCUGAGGCGCGAAAGCGUGGGGAGCAAACAGG